rnacentral:rRNA from 1 species
CCUACGGGAGGCUGCAGUGAGGAAUAUUGCACAAUGGGGGAAACCCUGAUCCAGCGACGCCGCGUGAGCGAUGAAGUAUCUCGGUAUGUAAAGCUCUUUUAGCAGGGAAGAAAAUGACGGUACCUGACUAAGAAUCCCCGGCCAACUACGUGCCAGCAGCCGCGGUAAGACGAAGGGGGCAAGGGUUAUCCGGAUUUACUGGGCGUAAAGGGAGCGUAGACGGUGAUGCAAGCCAGAUGUGAAAGGCCGGGGCUCAACCCCGGGACUGCAUUUGGAACUGUAUGGCUGGAGUGUCGGAGAGGCAGGCGGAAUUCCUGGUGUAGCGGUGAAAUGCGUAGAUAUUAGGAAGAACACCAGUGGCGAAGGCAGCCUGCUGAACGGUGACUGACGUUGAGGCUCGAAAGCGUGGGGAGCAAACAGGAUUAGAUACCCGAGUAGUC